rnacentral:tRNA from 1 species
GGUUGUGGUUCAGUGAUAGAGCGCUUGCCUAGCAUGUGUGAUGCUCUGGGUUCGAUUCCCAGCACCA